rnacentral:lncRNA from 1 species
AUUUUAUUGGCUUCAUUCACAACUUUUAAUUUUUCUGCCUUCACAUUAUUUAAAUGGGCAAAUAUACUCAUCAGUGACCUUAAUAAUAGUAUGCACUGUUUUUCCAUAGAGAAUAGAAGUGGAGAGUGGGGCAAAGUACUUCACCCUAGUGUGAUUCAGAAUCUUCUUGGGCUCAAGAGAAUGCCACUGCCUCUACCUCCAAUCCUCAACAUCUUGCCGGAGAUUUUGAUUCAUCUUUCUACAGCUUACAAUAGAUCAAGCUAUAAAAUGUCAUGAGAAGCAUGGAACCCGAAUAAGCCAAUGGGCCUAAUGUGAGUACCACAUGUGAGGACAACAUAUGACAGACAUAUCAAGGACUUGUGCUUCUUUCUUCUUCAUAUUCUAGGGGCUAUACUGACUGACUCUGAGAUAGCUUGAUGUAGAAUAUAAUUAUUAAUAAAUAGUUCAAGCCUUUGAAGUGCCACAUAAAAUUCCAGAGGAAUGUAUCUCCAGGAGUCUCAAUUUCCCAAUUUAGUAUAUAAUUAAUUUAAGCUUCAUAGAGGAGAAGUGAUGUGGUCACUUUUAAUAUAAGGCAUUCGUUGCUGGGGUUCUCAUUUCUCUCAUUGCCUGUCUCCUAUAAUAUUUAGCUUCCUUUAAAACAUUAAUGCUCUAUGAAUGACUUAACAUAAAUAUUUGAAGAAAGGAUACUACUAUAUGGAAAGAAUUAUAACAAUCCUGACUUUAACUCUUCUACUUUCUUUCUGUGGAUGGCUUGUUUUGCUUUCUCAAGAACCCUCUUCUCAUGAGGAUUUAGCCUCAACGGUCACUAUGUUGUCUUACUAAGACUACUUUUCCCAUCCUGGAGCUUCGGACCUACAGGCUUUUGGUAUCCUCUAAAGACAUUUUACAUGUGUGGUAAACCCAGAUUCAGGUUCUGAUCAUUGUCUGAAACCUCUCAUUUAUGACACUGAGUUCGUUGUUAAUUAUAUGUAUUUGGGGUAGAGUGUCAUCUAGCUGAUUGCUUGCUGCUUUCUCUAUGAGCUGCUGAACACAAGUUUCAUUUCAUGUUUUUAGUAGCUGUAACCAGGAAAAUGGAUUACUGAAAAGAUAACAAUCUAAUGUAGCUCUAUGUAGGAAAUUGUAUAUGGUCCAUUUUUCAAACCACAAGAGAAAAACAGAAUAAGUACCCUUUGCAGGUACUUAUAUUUAGACUUACCGUUUUAGAAGUGGUUUUAAGAGGAACCCAUCCUCUGCCUGCAGGGAUGAAACCUAUCGAAAUCCAUCUACCACACUAUUCAUGUUUAAGGGUUCAAGUGCUCAAUAGCCACAUGUGGGUAGUGCCUACUGUAUUGGAUGUUUCCAUCACCACAGAAAAAUCUAGCAGAUUCUAGGAGAUUCAUGGCUUAUGUUUUUCUGUAAAUAAUUUGAAAAGCAAGUGAAAAUUACUACUGAUGUGGGGGUUGCUAAUGGGCUAGCCUCUGGAGGAGGGAGUCAGCAAGGCUGGUGACAAAAGGAGGUGGAGGCAGUACAUGAGCCCAAGAAAGUGGGCAAUGAAAGUAGUGCUCACUAGGCGAAUGUAGAUACGUCGGAUAUUCUAGAGAGGCAGAAUGAUAGACCUGAGCUGAAGAAUAAAUUAUAGAAGAAACCAAGAUAUUGUCCAAUUGCAAGUUGGAUUAGUGAUAGCUUUUCACAAUUCCUUCAAUAAUCUUUAUAGUGGGUUAAAUAACUUUAUAUAUUAUAUACAUAUACGUAUUUAUAAU